rnacentral:rRNA from 1 species
CCUACGGGAGGCUGCAGUGGGGAAUAUUGGACAAUGGGGGGAACCCUGAUCCAGCCAUGCCGCGUGUGUGAAGAAGGCCCUCGGGUUGUAAAGCACUUUCAGUGAGGAAGAACGCCUGGUGGUUAAUACCCAUCAGGAAAGACAUCACUCACAGAAGAAGCACCGGCUAACUCCGUGCCAGCAGCCGCGGUAAUACGGAGGGUGCGAGCGUUAAUCAGAAUUACUGGGCGUAAAGCGCGCGUAGGUGGCUUGAUAAGCCGGUUGUGAAAGCCCCGGGCUCAACCUGGGAACGGCAUCCGGAACUGUCAAGCUAGAGUGCAGGAGAGGAAGGUAGAAUUCCCGGUGUAGCGGUGAAAUGCGUAGAGAUCGGGAGGAAUACCAGUGGCGAAGGCGGCCUUCUGGACUGACACUGACACUGAGGUGCGAAAGCGUGGGUAGCAAACAGGAUUAGAUACCCGUGUAGUC